rnacentral:rRNA from 1 species
UACGGGGGGGAGCAAGCGUUGUUCGGAUUUACUGGGCGUAAAGGGCGCGUAGGCGGUCGUGACAAGUCACUUGUGAAAUCUCCGGGCUUAACUCGGAACGGUCAAGUGAUACUGUCGGACUAGAGUACAGAAGGGGCAACUGGAAUUCUCGGUGUAGCGGUGAAAUGCGUUGAUAUCGACCGGAACUCCGGUGGCGAAGGCGAGGUGCUGGGCCCUUUCUGACGCUGAGGCGCGAAGGCGUGGGGGAGCGAACAGG